CAAAACCUGUGUAAUACUAAAACACAUCCUCUGAAUGCAACUCAGACACUUUAAUUAAGCUAAGGCCUC
rnacentral:tRNA from 1 species